ACAAUCAAAUAAAACUUAGCCUAUAUAAUGUCUUAAUCUGGUUGACAGUUUCUACCCAACGCCGUAAAUGUUGGACUAUAGGAAAACUAACUCUUAUG
rnacentral:ncRNA from 2 species